GAGAGCCGCAGCUUUGCUUCCCUGGGGAAGGGCUGACGUCCUCCGGGCGCCACUGCCCGCUUGGCGAAAUGCCUGGGGGCUGCCUAGAUCCCCGAGGCGGCGAGGUCUGGCCUCAUCCUCCUGGUGGGGAGACGGAAGGCACGCCCCCACUCCUCCCACGCCAGCCCCAGCGAGCACGCUCCCCCACCGCUCGCGGCUCCCCGGCCCGGAGUGUUUUCACUCGCGCCGCCGCCGAGGAGCCGCAGGCCCUCCCCGCCCCGCUUCCUCGUAUCACUAGCGCUGGUCGGCCGCUGGGGGCGCUGUGCGGACUGACGAGGACCGCCCCCUCUUCCUCCCUCUCCUCCGCCUCCUCCCUCUCCUCCGCCUCCUCCCUCUCCUCCGCCUCCUCCUCACUACAGUUCCCACUCUGGGUGGGAGCGAGCGCGUCCGGUUUGCAGGAACCUUUCGGAAAUGGCAACUUGCGCGAUGGAGGUGUUCGGGCUCCCGGAGGACGAGGAAAAUUCCCGAAUUGUGAGGGUAAAAGUUAUAGCUGGAAUAGGCCUUGCCAAAAAGGAUAUCUUGGGAGCUAGUGAUCCUUAUGUGCGAGUGACGUUAUAUGACCCAAUGAAUGGAAUUUUUACAAGUGUGCAAACGAAAACCAUUAAAAAGACUUUGAAUCCAAAAUGGAAUGAAGAAAUAUUAUUCAGAACAGAAAAUCCAAGAAUGGAGAGACCAUAUACCUUUAAGGAUUUUGUUCUUCAUCCAAGAAGUCACAAAUCAAGAGUUAAAGGUUAUCUGAGAUUAAAAAUGACUUACUUACCUAAAACCAGUGGCUCAGAAGACGAUAACACAGAACAGGCUGAGGAAUUAGAGCCUGGCUGGGUAGUUUUGGACCAACCAGAUGCUGCUUGCCAUUUGCAGCAGCAACAGGAACCUUCUCCUCUACCUCCAGGGUGGGAAGAGAGACAGGAUAUCCUUGGAAGGACCUACUAUGUAAACCAUGAAUCUAGAAGAACACAGUGGAAAAGACCAACCCUUCAGGACAACCUAACAGAUAAUGGUAACAUUCAACUGCAAGCCCAGCGUGCAUUUACCACCAGGAGGCAGAUAUCUGAGGAAACAGAAAGUGUUGACAACCGAGAACCUUCUGAGAACUGGGAAAUUAUAAGAGAAGAUGAAGCCACCAUGUACGGCCAUCAAGCCUUCCCUUCAUCUCCACCAUCAAAUAACUUGGAUGUCCAGACUCAUCUUGCAGAAGAAUUGAAUGCCAGACUCACUGUUGGUGGAAAUUCAGCCACUGGCCAGCCAGUAUCCAACUCAAAUCAUUCCAGCAGAAGAGGCAGCUUGCAAGCCUAUACUUUUGAGGAACAGCCUACACUUCCUGUGCUUUUGCCUACUUCAUCUGGAUUACCACCAGGUUGGGAAGAAAAACAAGAUGAAAGAGGAAGAUCAUACUAUGUGGAUCACAAUUGCAGAACUACUACCUGGAUAAAGCCCACUGUACAGGCCACAGUGGAGACCAGUCAGCUGCCGUCAAGCCAGGGUUCUUCUGCAGGCCCCCAGCCACAGGCCCCCGCGAGUGACGCAGCACAACAGGUGACCCAGCCAUCUGAAAUGGAGCAAGGAUUCCUCCCCAAAGGCUGGGAGGUCCGGCACGCACCAAACGGGAGGCCUUUCUUCAUUGACCACAACACCAAAACCACCACCUGGGAAGAUCCAAGACUGAAAAUUCCAGCUCAUCUGAGAGGAAAGACAUCACUUGAUUCUUCCAGUGACCUGGGGCCUUUACCUAAUAAAGAACCUCUUUUUUUCUCUCUUUCUUCAGAUAGUAAAAAAACACAAUGGGAAGACCCUCGUUUGCAGCAUGUAGCAAUAACUGGACCAGCAGUGCCCUACUCCAGGGAUUACAAAAGAAAGUAUGAGUUCUUCCGAAGAAAGUUGAAGAAGCAGAAUGACAUUCCAAACAAAUUUGAAAUGAAACUUCGCCGUGCAACUGUUCUUGAGGACUCUUACAGGAGGAUUAUGGGGGUCAAGAGAGCAGACUUCCUCAAGGCUAGACUGUGGAUUGAGUUUGACGGUGAAAAGGGACUAGAUUAUGGAGGAGUUGCCAGAGAAUGGUUCUUUCUUAUUUCAAAGGAAAUGUUUAACCCUUAUUAUGGGUUGUUCGAAUAUUCUGCUACGGAUAAUUAUACCCUACAGAUAAAUCCCAAUUCUGGACUGUGUAAUGAAGAUCACCUCUCUUACUUCAAGUUUAUUGGUCGGGUAGCUGGGAUGGCAGUGUAUCAUGGCAAACUGUUGGAUGAUAUCUUCUUUCUUGAAUAUUACAAUUCAUUAAGAUGGAUUCUUGAAAAUGAUCCAACAGAAUUGGACCUCAGGUUUGUCAUAGAUGAAGAACUUUUUGGACAGACACAUCAACAUGAGUUGAAAAGUGGUGGAUCAGAAAUAGUUGUCACCAAUAAGAACAAAAAGGAAUAUAUUUAUCUUGUAAUACAAUGGCGAUUUGUAAACCGAAUCCAGAAGCAAAUGGCUGCUUUUAAAGAGGGAUUUUUUGAACUGAUACCGCAGGAUCUCAUCAAAAUUUUUGAUGAAAAUGAACUAGAGCUUCUGAUGUGUGGCUUGGGAGAUGUGGAUGUGAAUGACUGGAGAGAACACACAAAGUACAAAAAUGGCUACAGCAUAAAUCAUCAAGUCAUCCAGUGGUUUUGGAAGGCUGUUUUAAUGAUGGACUCAGAAAAAAGAAUACGACUACUUCAGUUUGUCACUGGCACAUCACGUGUGCCUAUGAAUGGAUUUGCUGAACUGUAUGGCUCAAACGGACCACAGUCAUUUACAGUUGAGCAGUGGGGCACACCUGAGAAGCUGCCAAGAGCUCAUACCUGCUUUAAUCGCCUGGACUUGCCACCCUAUGAAUCAUUUGAAGAAUUAUGGGAUAAACUUCAGAUGGCCAUUGAGAACACUCAGGGUUUUGAUGGCGUGGAUUAGAUUUUAAGUAGCCGUUUAUGGUGUUUUACUGCCACUUUUUUUUUAAAGCAAAAUCUUGACUUAAAAUUUUCCAGGGAACUACUAAUCCUUGGCCAUUGAUGCUUCUCAGAUAUUGGAGAAAAUCGUGUCAACGAAUUAGAAGAGCUAGGAUGACAACGCUUCCAUUAUUUCAUUCAUUUUAGUAAUGUGUUGCAUUUACAUAGUUGUUUCGUUCUAUUUUGAGUUCACACCCAAGGAUUUAAGUCCUGUGUGCCUGAAAACGUGAGAUUUAUCCUUGGAUUUACCUCUUUUACAGUAUUUGCCAGGCAGUUCUUUCUUAAACUACUGAAAUGAUAACUGUGAAUACCUGUGAUAAGUGACAUGUGUGAAAAGUAUGAUUUUUUUGAGAAGGAGAACUGAAAUUUGGGGUAAAAAACUUCAAUACUGAGUACACGACAAUAUAUUCAAUGCUGCCUGCAGCUAGUUAUUAUUUUUUAGACCUGCCUACCGCACGGGCAGUAGCAGGUUUUUGGAAGAAUCUUGCAAAGUGUGUUACCUAUAUUUUCAGUCAACUGAUUCACUUACAAAAAGCUGUCUACUUCUUCAUUUUAAAAGUAUUUGGCUUUUGUUAGUAUGCGGUUUUACUAAACAAGGUAGUUCAUAGGACAUGUGAAGCAAAUUCAGAUUUGCAAAGGUUGAAAGGUAUCAGUGCCUCCCUCUUGCCUGUAUAUCCUAUGGCUCAUUGAUAGAGCCAUUACUCUUUACUGUUUUCAUUUAGUUAAAAGAAUUCCUUCUUCAAACUAAAGCUUGACAAAGCAGUAUUCCUAAAUAUGCCUUGAAGAACUAAGUUAAAUGUAUAAUACUUGCCUUUACUAGUCAUUCUUUACACUUGCACAAUUAUGUAGUCCUUACAUGUUUACAGGGUUUAUUAUGUUUACAGAUUAAGCUAAUUUCUGUAGUUGCAUUUUUAUAUUUUUAGUAUUUCACUUUAGUCAAACCAAAUAAUUUGUUAAAAAUUACCAAAGAAUAGUUACAGUGCAUCAUUUGUAUUAAAUUUAUUACCAUGUUUCUUAUGCUUUUUAAAAAACUGUUUACUAUGAAAAUAUUUUGCUAUAAAUCCAAAACUCUAGGCAAAAUGCUAGAGAUAGACUUCUACUUUAGCUAAAUAGAAGUACAUAAAAAUCCUGUGCGUGCAUUCAACAAAGGUUUACUGAAUGCCUGUGAUAUGCAUAGCUCUGUCUAGGCCAAAGGGUGAGAGUUGUCAGCUUCAAAGAAAUCCAUCCCCAUCCUCAAGGAACUUAGAGAUGUGUAAAGGAAUUUUGAAACAAUCAAAAGUCAGGGUGAGCAGAAUAAGGCAAAAGGGAAAGUGUUCCAGUGCACCUGCAAAGGUAAAGUGUGCCAAGGCUGUAUUUAUAUAUUUUAUACCUAUAUUGGAAUGAUUGUAUAGAAAAAUGCUCUUGAAAAAAGUUAAAGCUAUUUCUCAAUAUGGUAUUUUGGUGAUUUAGGGAUAAUUGUAAAUAUAUGUUAUGUCUUCUCAAAUACACACACACACACACUCCAAGAGGUGUAAAAAAGUANUUCUCAAAUACACACACACACACACACUCCAAGAGGUGUAAAAAAGUAUAUCUGGCUGUUGGUUACAGUUUGCUGGGGUCUAAUACCAUGUGUACUUUUCAGCACCUGGUAGGGAUCUCAUAAGUGACAGAAGCGAAGCCACUUUCCAAACAUCACAUCAGCAGCCCAGCUUAGAGAAAGUAAUUCACAGAUCCAUGUACCCUCUGUCUUAUCUUCUUCUGUGUUAACCAGCAUUCAGGGGAAACACCCUGCUUUUAUCACUUACCAAAUGUUUAAACCGAAGCAACAUACUUCACCUCUCUGGGUUCCUGGUUCUUCAUCUGUCAAAGGAAAAUAACUAUGUAUGCAUGCUCUCAUUGUAAGAUNNNNNNNNNNNNNNNNNNNNNNNNNNNNNNNNNNNNNNNNNNNNNNNNNNNNNNNNNNNNNNNNNNNNNNNNNNNNNNNNNNNNNNNNNNNNNNNNNNNNNNNNNNNNNNNNNNNNNNNNNNNNNNNNNNNNNNNNNNNNNNNNNNNNNNNNNNNNNNNNNNNNNNNNNNNNNNNNNNNNNNNNACAAAUCUAUGUAUACAUAUUUUUAUCUGUAUAUGGAUCUUACCAUCAGAAUUCAUUUUCUCCACAUGAGCAAAGUAAUGUUAAGAUGGGCCAAUGCAUUUUGGAAUGUUCUCAUUAUGUAGAACUGAACGUGAAAACUGCUUUUGUUAAAAAUGGAUUUUACCACAUGAUUGUUUAAAUAUCACUUCUGUCAAAUAUGGCAGAUUUCAGAGCUUGAGAAAAUAUAUAGCUUGCUUUUCAUCUGACUCAUUCACUUGGAUGAUUCUGUGACUCAGAUAAAACAGCGUAUUAAUAAGACCAGACACUCCCACCAGCACCCAGCCACAGACCAGCAUCUGCUUCAUUUUCCAGGUAUGCAGUGAUGGUCUGAAAGGACCCUGUAUUAAGCAACACAGCCCCUCAUCCCAAAUAGCAAAGUAUCUCAAAACACAUUCUACAGCUGGAAGUAAAUAGGGUCAUUUUCUUAGAGCAAGGAUGUCAUAUUUUUUUAGAACUUAUAAGCACAUAAUUUUAGCCUAUAUUUUCUCUGUAAUCAAAUUUUGACGGACAUAAAAUUGUAUUACAAAUGCAUUUCAUCCUAAUUUAAAGGUUUUAACUGUUUUUGUUUCUUAUUUAUAAUCUGAAAUUCCAGAGAAUUAUCAAGUCAAACAACUCUUUUGAAUUAUAAGCCACUUGAUAUUGUUUUCUAAAAUCUUCUGAUAUGGGAAAAUAUUACCAAGAUUAAUGUAUCAAAUUUUAUUGUAUACUUUAAAAUAUAAAACCAUUUUUAAAAAUCUGAUACCAUAAAUAAAGUUCUAUUCUAGCAAAACCA
rnacentral:lncRNA from 1 species